AUUGAACGCUGGCGGAAUGCUUUACACAUGCAAGUCGAACGGCAGCACGGACUUCGGUCUGGUGGCGAGUGGCGAACGGGUGAGUAAUGUAUCGGAACGUGCCCAGUCGUGGGGGAUAACGUAGUGAAAAUUACGCUAAUACCGCAUACGAUCUAUGGAUGAAAGCGGGGGAUCGCAAGACCUCGCGCGAUUGGAGCGGCCGAUAUCCGAUUAGGUAGUUGGUGGGGUAAAGGCCCACCAAGCCAACGAACUGUAGCUGGUCUGAGAGGACGACCAGCCACACUGGAACUGAGACACGGUCCAGACUCCUACGGGAGGCAGCAGUGGGGAAUUUUGGACAAUGGGCGAAAGCCUGAUCCAGCCAUUCCGCGUGCAGGAUGAAGGCCCUCGGGUUGUAAACUGCUUUUGUACAGAACGAAAAGGUUUCUACUAAUACUAGGAGCUCAUGACGGUACUGUAAGAAUAAGCACCGGCUAACUACGUGCCAGCAGCCGCAGUAA
rnacentral:rRNA from 1 species